rnacentral:rRNA from 1 species
CUACGGGCGGCAGCAGUGAGGAAUAUUGCACAAUGGGGGGAACCCUGAUGCAGCAACGCCGCGUGGAGGAUGACGCAUUUCGGUGUGUAAACUCCUUUUAUAUGUCAAGAAAAUGACGGUAGCAUAUGAAUAAGCACCGGCUAACUCCGUGCCAGCAGCCGCGGUACUACGGAGGGUGCAAGCGUUACUCGGAAUCACUGGGCGUAAAGGACGCGUAGGCGGGUUGGAAAGUCAGGUGUGAAAUCCUACAGCUUAACUGUAGAACUGCACUUGAAACUGCUAAUCUAGAGUAUGGGAGGGGGAGAUGGAAUUAGUGGUGUAGGGGUAAAAUCCGUAGAUAUCACUAGGAAUACCUAAAGCGAAGGCGAUCUCCUGGAACAUUACUGACGCUAAGGCGUGAAAGCGUGGGGAGCAAACAGGAUUAGAUACCCUAGUAGUC